AUUGUUUGGAUCGAUGGAUGCUUCCUUUAUCUCAGUUACAUCCCCUUGAUCCAGUUUUACGCCAGCCCUGGCCGAACUCCUUUACAGAGUAUCUAGUAGCUGCCACUGCUUUCCUAAGGGGUUACUCAAUGUUUCUGCCCAAAACCUGUCGAAGAAGAUACAAGAAGAAUGGACUGCUACACUAAGUCAUAACUUCUAAGUCAGCCGAGUAAGUUGAGUAUAAAGAAUGACAAAUCUGAUGCUUGGAAGCUGGACCUGCAUAGUUUGGCAUGUACCUGCACUUUAUCUGACAGAUUGGUGUUUGAUGCCCUACCUUGAAUGCACCGUUGUUUGUGGCUAUCAAAUAUUCUUUGGCACAAAGAAGAGUACAUCCAUGGAUAAACACCCAAUCAGUACCCAAUUGAGUGGAAAGU